CCAGACUCCUACGGGAGGCAGCAGUGGGGAAUAUUGCGCAAUGGGCGAAAGCCUGACGCAGCGACGCCGCGUGAGGGAUGAAGGUCUUCGGAUCGUAAACCUCUGUCAGCAGGGAAGAGAAUGACGGUACCUGACUAAGAAGCCCCGGCUAACUACGUGCCAGCAGCCGCGGUAAUACGUAGGGGGCGAGCGUUAUCCGGAUUUACUGGGUGUAAAGGGAGCGUAGACGGCUGGUCAAGUCUGAAGUGAAAGCCCGGGGCUUAACCCCGGAACGGCUUUGGAAACUGAGCAGCUAGAGUGCUGGAGAGGUAAGCGGAAUUCCUAGUGUAGCGGUGAAAUGCGUAGAUAUUAGGAGGAACACCAGUGGCGAAGGCGGCUUACUGGACAGUAACUGACGUUGAGGCUCGAAAGCGUGGGGAGCAAACAGGAUUAGAUACCCCGGUAGC
rnacentral:rRNA from 1 species